rnacentral:rRNA from 1 species
AGCCCAAACCGUUAUUGUUUCGGCAUUAACGGGGUAGUAGGACUGCAAGCUUGAUGAAAUAAAUGAAAUGGAACACUUUGGAAAAUGUGAUCACAGAGGGUGAUAAUCCCGUACAUGCAAGUUUAUGAAUCAUAGCAGACUCCUGAGUAAGUCGGGACACGUGUAAUCCUGACCGAAUCCGCCGGGACCAUCCGGCAAGGCUAAAUACUCCUGAGAGACCGAUAGUGAACCAGUACCGUGAGGGAAAGGUGAAAAGCACUUCGAACAGAAGAGUGAAAUAGUCCCUGAACCCAUACGCCUACAAGCUGUCGGAGCCGCUUCGUGCGGUGACGGCGUGCCUUUUGCAUAAUGAGCCUACGAGUUACUCAUCACCAGCGAGGUUAAGUACUUCAGGUACGUAAGCCGAAGCGAAAGCGAGUCUGAAUAGGGCGUCAAGUUGGUGGUGGUAGACGCGAAACCUUAGUGAUCUACCCAUGGGCAGGGUGAAGGUUUGGUAACACAAACUGGAGGCCCGAACCGGUAAACGUUGAAAAGUUUUCGGAUGACCUGUGGGUAGGGGUGAAAGGCCAAUCAAACUGGGAAAUAGCUCGUACUCUCCGAAAUGCAUUUAGGUGCAGCCUCUGUUGUUUUGUUCUAGAGGUAGAGCUACUGAUUGGAUGCGAGGGCUUCACCGCCUAUCAAAUCCGGCCAAACUCCGAAUGCUAGAACAUGAAGACAGGGAGUGAGCCAGCGGGUGCUAAGGUCCGUUGACGAAAGAGGGAGAACUCAGACCAUCAGCUAAGGUCCCCAAUUAUAUGCUAAGUUGGAAUUAAAACGGGGUGGGACUGCUUAGACAGCUAGGAUGUUGGCUUGGAAGCAGCCAUUCAUUUAAAGAGUGCGUAACAGCUCACUAGUCGAGCGGUCCUGCAUGGAUAAUACGCGGGCAUAAGCAUAUAACCGAAGCUAUGGGAUUGUAGAUGAUACAAUCGGUAGGAGAGCAUUCCAUUCAGCAUAGAAGCAGUACCGUGAGGUAUUGUGGAGCGGAUGGAAAAGCAAAUGUAGGCAUAAGUAACGAUAAUGCGGGUGAGAACCCCGCACGCCGAAAGAUCAAGGAUUCCCCGGCAAUGUCAAUCAUCCGGGGGUAAGUCGGAUCCUAAGGGUAAGCCGAGUGGCGAUCCCGAUGGCAAACAGGUUAAUAUUCCUGUACUGAUCAUAACUGCGAUGCAGCGACGCAGAGGUGACACUGCUGCGUACUGACGGAAUAGUACGUUGAAACCCGUAUUCUUUGAUACCGGUAGUGAAGCACGCCGGUAGAGAUGAAAGGUGAUAGUACCGCAAUGCUUCGGUUGCGCGGAUAACGCAGGUAAGCUGACUGCCAAGAAAACCUGCUAAGCUUCAGGUAAUGAUCAUCCGUACUGUAAACGGACACACGUGAUCAGGUAGAAAAUACUAAGGCGCUCGAGAGAUUCAUGGUUAAGGAACUAGGCAAAAUGGUCCUGUAACUUCGGGAUAAAGGACGCUCUUGUGAAAGAGCCGCAGAUAAUAGGCCCAGGCGACUGUUUACCAAAAACACAUGGCUAUGCUAAUUCGCAAGAAGAUGUAUAUGGCCUGACACCUGCCCGGUGCCGGAAGGUUAAGAGGAGAGCUCAGAUGUAAGUCGAAGGUUUGAAUUGAAGCCCCGGUAAACGGCGGCCGUAACUAUAACGGUCCUAAGGUAGCGAAAUUCCUUGUCGGGUAAGUUCCGACCUGCACGAAUGGUGUAACGAUCUGGGUACUGUCUCAACCAUGAGCUCGGUGAAAUUGUAGUUCCGGUGAAGAUGCCGGAUACCCGCAACGGGACGGAAAGACCCCGUGAACCUUUACUGCAGCUUUGCAUUGAUUUUGGGUAACAGAUGUGUAGGAUAGGUCGGAGGCUUUGAUGCUGCGUCGUCAGGCGUAGAGUAGCCGUCGUUGAAAUACGACCCUUUUGUUAUCUGAGGUCUAAUCCCGUUAGGGAGACAUUGCAUGGUGGGUAGUUUGACUGGGGUGGUCGCCUCCAAAAGUGUAACGGAGGCUUCUCAAGGUACCCUCAAGGCGUUUGGUAAUCGUCUGCAGAGUGCAAUGGCAUAAGGGUGCUUGACUGUGAGACCGACACGUCGAUCAGGUUGGAAACAAGAGCAUAGUGAUCCGGUGGUUCCGCAUGGAAGGGCCAUCG